AUGACAGACAAGGGUUUUCACCCCCAGCCCUGGCACAUGAACAAGACCCACGGCUACGGCUUCAAGAAGGGAGCGACACCCACGGACACCGCCGUCGUCGGCGCCAAGCGUGAAGCUUUUGCUCGGGAACUCGCCAAUACCACCAGUAGGCGCCCCUACAACUCCUGCAGCGAGAGUCAGGCCAACCCCGCCAAAUCCGGGCACGACCAGAGCCUACCAGAUCCUUCCGUCCCUACACCCAUGCCUCCCGCACGGCCAACAGGUGUAGGCACAAACGUCACCACAAGACUUGCCGGAAAGCCCACCGUGGAUCCCACCACCGGGAGCCGCUGCCCCGGCAUCCUCAGACAACUCAAAAUUGAUGCCAAAACACGAGGUCGCCUCCCCACCAAGCCACGAGCCUCCACCUUGAUAUGGACAGAGAAACAGCCGAGGUAA
rnacentral:rRNA from 1 species